rnacentral:rRNA from 1 species
UACGAAGGGGGCUAGCGUUGCUCGGAAUUACUGGGCGUAAAGGGCGCGUAGGCGGGUCGUUUGAAGUUGGGGGUGAAAGCCCAGGGCUCAACCCUGGAAUUGCCUUCAAUACUGGCGACCUUGAGUAUGGCAGAGGUGUGUGGAACUCCGAGUGUAGAGGUGAAAUUCGUAGAUAUUCGGAAGAACACCAGUGGCGAAGGCGACACACUGGGCCAUUACUGACGCUGAGGCGCGAAAGCGUGGGGAGCAAACAGG